UGAGCAACCUGCCCUUGACCCUGGAAUAACAGCUAGGAAACAGCUGCUAAUACCGGAUAU
rnacentral:rRNA from 1 species